rnacentral:rRNA from 1 species
UGCAGUCGAACGAAGUAGCAAUACUUAGUGGCAGACGGGUGAGUAACAUGUAGGUAUCUUCCCUUUGGUGAGGAAUAACACGAGGAAACUUGUGCUAAUACCUCAUAAGUCUUUACGGAGAAAGCUUUAUGCGCCGAAGGAUGAGCCUGCACUUGAUUAGUUUGUUGGUGGGGUAAUGGCCUACCAAGACUUUGAUCUAUAGCUGAUCUGAGAGGAUGAUCAGCCACAUUGGGACUGAGACACGGCCCAAACUCCUACGGGAGGCAGCAGUAGGGAAUAUUGCACAAUGGAGGAAACUCUGAUGCAGCGAUGCCGCGUGAGUGAAGAAGGCCUUUGGGUUGUAAAGCUCUUUCGUCGGGGAAGAAAAUGACUGUACCCGAAUAAGAAGGUCCGGCUAACUUCGUGCCAGCAGCCGCGGUAAUACGAAGGGACCUAGCGUAGUUCGGAAUUACUGGGCUUAAAGAGUUCGUAGGUGGUUAAAAAAGUUGGUGGUGAAAUCCCAGAGCUUAACUCUGGAACUGCCAUCAAAACUUUUUAGCUAGAGUAUGAUAGAGGAAAGCAGAAUUUCUAGUGUAGAGGUGAAAUUCGUAGAUAUUAGAAAGAAUACCAAUUGCGAAGGCAGCUUUCUGGAUCAUUACUGACGCUGAGGAACGAAAGCAUGGGUAGCGAAGAGGAUUAGAUACCCUCGUAGUCCAUGCCGUAAACGAUGUGUGUUAGACGUUGGAAAUUUAUUUUCAGUGUCGCAGCGAAAGCGUUAA